UCUGGAAGUAUUUAUAACCCUGUGAGUUUAACACUUCAUGACUGAGAGCUGUCCUUCAUGACAACAGAACCCACAACAACCAUGACUUUUAUCACCAUCUUCAUCUGGAUAUUUGCCCUCUGCUUUCAAGAGUCCAGAGGCCAGGUCACAGUGACCCAGACUCCUGCAGUGAAAGCUGUUUCAGUGGGUCACUCAGUCAGUCUCAGCUGUAAGACCAGCAGUGCAGUAUACAGUGAUACACAUGGACAGAGGUUGGCCUGGUAUCAACAGAAACUCUGAGAAUCUCCUAAACUCCUUACAUAUUUCAUUAGUACCCGUAACUCUGGGAUACCAUCUAGAUUCAGUGGCAGUGGAUCAGGGAGUGACUUCACUCUGACCAUCAGUGGAGUCCAGACUGAAGAUACAGGAGAUUACUACUGUCAGAGUGAACACUACCCCAACAGUGUCUGGGUGGUAACACAGUGAUAUAGAGCCAUACAAAAACCUCCCUCAGAUUUCACAGUGACUGCGCUAGUUGGGUUUGACUCCAGGUGCUGAGUGGGAAGAGACAGUGGCCGUGUCCGAAAACCCAUACUACCGUACUUGAUAAGGUACAUUUCAGGAAAUGUUAUAUAACAUAAACAUACUGUUGACAAGUAGGCUAGGGUGUAAUGGAAUGUUUUGCCUUGUGUGGUAGGUUGUGUGGGUUUUGUCACUCUUAUGUAGGUGUCAUAACCAGCCAUAAAAUAAAGCAAUAUAUAUGUGACAAUAGGUCUAAAUAUAUGUGUGAUGACAGUGUUAUGACCCCAUUAUGACAGGUUAUGACAAGAUAUGUCAGCUGUUAGGACAUAUGACAUGGUUAUGACCGUGUCAUAGCAUUAUGAUGCUAGGUGUCAAGUGAAGUGUUACCACACAAUCCAUGUCUCAAGGUUUAAAAAUCCUUCUUUAACCUGUCUCUUCCCCUUCAUCUCCACUGAUUGAAGUGGAUUUAACAAGUGAUAUUAAUAAGGGAUCGUGGCUUUCACCUGGUCAGUCUUUGUCAUGGAAAGAGUAAACUGAGUGUAUACCAGUGAUGAUGAUAAUAUGUCAACUCAUACACUGUCACGUUAGAGCAUUCCUGAAGCAAUAACAACCACGCGUCUCUAGAUUGCAUAAGUCGCUUUGUUAUUGCAAACCUUAAUUAGUUCAUAUGCAAACACUGCCUCAAAUUGUCACAAAAUAUUUUGAAUGGACUCCAUCUGUGUGGAAUAAGUGUCUCACAUCAUUUCAGAAUUUUAAAAAACCAGUCUCGGGGGUGGUUGAAUAGUGUUGAGGACUAUUCAACCACCAUGUCCUGACAGCCAUGUCGAAACACAUCAGAGUUUAAAAUAUUUUGUUUAAUUGAACAUGCUAUCAUAAUAAAGGCAUUUGAACUAUAUUAAGAGCGCCUUGGUUCACCUAGGUUAUGAUUAACAAUUCAACCAUAUAUGUUGAGAUGAUGAUUGUAAACCCUUAAAAAAACACCUUGUUCCUGCUACAACCUGAUUAAAUCUUCCAGCACCUUCCCAGUCUUUAAUUGAUUCUAGCAGAGGAAUGUUUAUCAAUCAAGGCCAUGAUUGGCUGGACAAUCAGCUCUCAACACUUUCAAAGUUCUGCUGCUCAUACAGCUCUAUUCAACUACAAUUUCCCUGGGGGACCAUGAAAGUCUGUUUGCAUAGAGAGAACCCUUUGCAUUGGCAGCACAUCUUCAGUGGUCUGGGAGUGUUUAUAACCCUGUGAGUUUAACACUUCAUGACUGAGAGCUGUCCUUCAUGAGGACAGAACCCACAUCAACAAUGCAUUUUUCCACCAUCUUCAUCUGGAUGCUUGCCCUCUGCUUUCAGGAAAACAAUGUGGAACUCAGACGUUAGACACAUGUCAGUAACUGUCAAUGUCUGUCUUUAGUCAUACCCAUCUUAUAUGUCAUCUAUUAAAUGGUGGUUUAUUCAUUGUAA